CAGCAAGCUGGGAUCGAAGAGCUUGUACUACUGCGACUACGUGUCUCAUAACAACACUUGGCUUUAUGGGUAUUACCAAAACGGCAUAUACUGCUGGGCAGAUGACGAUGGCGAAAACAAGACGCGACUUACUGGAUAUUGCCUGGAUGGAAUAUGCUACCCCACUGAUCACGAUAACGUAACCCACCUUCCCACACCAGAAAAUCCCAUGUUAGGAUGAAGCUGAAAGAUUAACAUAUCAGAAAUAAAUUUCACAUUUUACGUGAAAACCAAUGCGAAUUGCCAUUUACAGAGAGUUACAUGCGAAAUAUCUAUCUCUGAGAAUAAAUGAAAUCACAGAAUAGUUGAGAA